rnacentral:rRNA from 1 species
GACCAACGCUGGCGGCGUGCCCAAUACAUGCAAGUUGAGCGCACAAGCGUGGUGCUUGUUCCGAUUGGCUGAGCAGCGAACGGGUGAGUAACGCGUGGGGAAUCUGACUAUGAGAGUGGGAUAACUUUUGGAAACGGAAGCUAAUACCGUAUAAUAACUUUAACCACAAGGUUCAAGAUUGAAAGACGCACUUGCAUUACUUAAAGAUUAUCCCGCGUUGGAGUAGCUAGCUGGUGAGGUAAAGGCUCACCAAGGCGACGAUACAUAGCCGACCCUGGAGGGUGAUCGGCCACAGUGGGACUGAGACACGGCCCACACUCCUACGGGAGGCAGAAGUAGGGAAUCUUCGGCAAUGGACGAAAGUCUGACCGAGCAACGCCGCGUGAGUGAUGAAGGUUUUCGGAUCGUAAAACUCUGUUAUUAGAGAAGAACGUUGGUGUAAGUGACAGGGUCCACAAGUGACGGUACCUAACAAGAAGGGGACGGCGAACUACGU